AUUGAACGCUGGCGGCAGGCCUAACACAUGCAAGUCGAGCGGUAACAGGAGAAAGCUUGCUUUCUUGCUGACGAGCGGCGGACGGGUGAGUAAUGUAUGGGGAUCUGCCCGAUAGAGGGGGAUAACUACUGGAAACGGUGGCUAAUACCGCAUAAUGUCUACGGACCAAAGCAGGGGCUCUUCGGACCUUGCACUAUCGGAUGAACCCAUAUGGGAUUAGCUAGUAGGUGGGGUAAAGGCUCACCUAGGCGACGAUCUCUAGCUGGUCUGAGAGGAUGAUCAGCCACACUGGGACUGAGACACGGCCCAGACUCCUACGGGAGGCAGCAGUGGGGAAUAUUGCACAAUGGGCGCAAGCCUGAUGCAGCCAUGCCGCGUGUAUGAAGAAGGCCUUAGGGUUGUAAAGUACUUUCAGCGGGGAGGAAGGUGAUAAGGUUAAUACCCUUGUCAAUU
rnacentral:rRNA from 1 species